rnacentral:rRNA from 1 species
UGGGGAAUAUUGGACAAUGGGCGCAAGCCUGAUCCAGCAAUUCCGCGUGGGUGAAGAAGGUCUUCGGAUUGUAAAGCCCUUUCGGCAGGGACGAUGAUGACGGUACCUGCAGAAGAAGCCCCGGCUAACUUCGUGCCAGCAGCCGCGGUAAUACGAAGGGGGCUAGCGUUGCUCGGAAUUACUGGGCGUAAAGGGCGCGUAGGCGGCGCUGCAAGUCAGGCGUGAAAUUCCUGGGCUUAACCUGGGGGCUGCGCUUGAGACUGUGGUGCUAGAGGAUGGAAGAGGCUCGUGGAAUUCCCAGUGUAGAGGUGAAAUUCGUAGAUAUUGGGAAGAACACCGGUGGCGAAGGCGGCGAGCUGGUCCAUUACUGACGCUGAGGCGCGAUAGCGUGGGGAGCAAACAG